CAGUCGCCGCGGGAAUACGUAGGUGGCAAGCGUUGUCCGGAAUUAUUGGGCGUAAAGGGCUCGCAGGCGGUUUCUUAAGUCUGAUGUGAAAGCCCCCGGCUCAACCGGGGAGGGUCAUUGGAAACUGGGAAACUUGAGUGCAGAAGAGGAGAGUGGAAUUCCACGUGUAGCGGUGAAAUGCGUAGAGAUGUGGAGGAACAUCAGUGGCGAAGGCGACUCUCUGGUCUGUAACUGACGCUGAGGAGCGAAAGCGUGGGGAGCGAACAGGAUUAGAUACCCCAGUAGUCCCUGUCUCUUAUAC
rnacentral:rRNA from 1 species